UACAGAGGUCUCGAGCGUUAGGCGGAAUCACUGGGCUUAAAGCGUGUGUAGGCGGAUCGGUAAGUACCUUGUGAAAUCCCACAGCUUAACUGUGGAACUGCUUGGUAUACUGCCAGUCUUGAGCCAGCUAGGGGCUACCGGAACAAAUGGUGGAGCGGUGAAAUGCGUAGAUAUUGGGAGGAACACCAGUGGCGAAGGCGGCUCACUGGACCGGUUCUGACGCUGAGGCGCGAAAGCGUGGGGAGCAAACGGG
rnacentral:rRNA from 1 species